rnacentral:rRNA from 1 species
UACGUAGGGUCCGAGCGUUGUCCGGAAUUACUGGGCGUAAAGCGCGCGCAGGCGGCCCGCGAGGUGUCACGUGAAAGCCCCGGGCUCAACCCGGGAGGGUCGUGGCAAACCGGCGGCUUGGAGGCCGGUAGAGGUGGGUGGAACUCCUGGUGGAGUGGUGAAAUGCGUAGAGAUCAGGAAGAACACCCGUGGCGAAGGCGGCCCACUGGGCCGGUACUGACGCUGAGGCGCGAAGGCGUGGGGAGCGAACGGG